rnacentral:rRNA from 1 species
GACGAACGCUGGCGGCGUGCUUAACACAUGCAAGUCGAACGAGGUGGCGAACGGGUGAGUAACGCGUAAUCAACCUGCCCUUCAGAGGGGGACAACAGUUGGAAACGACUGCUAAUACCGCAUACUGAAGGAGGGGAUUGCGUUGGAUUAGCUAGUUGGAGGGGUAACGGCCCACCAAGGCGAGGAUCAGUAGCCGGACUGGGAGGAUGGCCGGCCACAUUGGGACUGAGACACGGCCCAGACGCCUACGGGUGGCAGCCGUGGGGACUCUUCCGCAAUGGACGGAAGUCUGACGGAGCAACGGCGCGUGAGUGAGGACGGCCUUCGGGUUGUAAAGCUCUGUUAAUCGGGACGCGGUACCGGAAUAGAAAGCCACGGCUAACUACGUGCCAGCAGCCGCGGUAAUAC